rnacentral:lncRNA from 1 species
CCUGUUUCAUGAUAUGGACAUGAGAUACAUGUUUAAUGCAUGCAUGCAGUUAAUUCAUAGUUAUAAAUGUCAAUACAUGUAACAUUCCCAUUACAAAAUAAAUGUAAUCAGAAUUGUUUUGCCACUAUUCUCUCAAAUUCCUGUAUUUAUAUUUUUUAUUUAUGUGACAAGUCUCCUAAAUAUAAAACUGGUUGUCCAUAUCCUUCAAUUUUCCACUUUGGAAGACCCAGUUCAAGUCUCAAAUCCCAUCCCGUUAGAAAUAUUUCUCAUAAGAUUCAGAUCUGGCUGUUGAUCUCAUCUCCACAAUCCAACUGACCCUUCAUGGGUAGGCAGUUUGUGGAAGAGCUUGUUUCACCCCACCAUUUAGUAUUCUUACUAAAUCAAAAGUGUCAUCAUCUGUUGACAAAAAAUAUGAGUGAUUCCUAAAUAUUUUUAGAUAUUUUUGAAAUUUUAAAAAGAAAGUUAUUUCAAAAGGAUUGAAAUUUUGACAUGAAUAACAUUUAUGCUGUGAAUACUUAGUGCUCAGGAUGUCAUGAAAAAUGAAACAUCUAAAUCCACAUAUAUCUCCA